CGCGGCCUAUCAGCUUGUUGGUGGGUGAUGGCCUACCAAGGCGACGACGGGUAGCCGGCCUGAGAGGGCGACCGGCCACACUGGGACUGAGAUACGGCCCAGACUCCUACGGGAGGCAGCAGUGGGGAAUAUUGCGCAAUGGGCGAAAGCCUGACGCAGCGACGCCGCGUGGGGGAUGAAUGCCUUCGGGUUGUAAACCCCUUUCAGCAGGAACGAAAUUGACGGUACCUGCAGAAGAAGCCCCGGCCAACUACGUGCCAGCAGCCGCGGUAAUACGUAGGGCGCAAGCGUUGUCCGGAAUUAUUGGGCGUAAAGAGCUCGUAGGUGGCUGGUCACGUCUGCCGUGAAAGACCCGGGCUUAACUCGGGUUCUGCGGUGGAUACGGGCCGGCUUGAGGUAGGUAGGGGCAAGCGGAAUUCCUGGUGUAGCGGUGAAAUGCGCAGAUAUCAGGAGGAACACCGGUGGCGAAGGCGGCUUGCUGGGCCUUACCUGACGCUGAGGAGCGAAAGUGUGGGGAGCGAACAGGAUUAGAUACCCUGAUAGUCCACGCCGUAAACGUUGGGCGCUAGGUGUGGGGCUCAUUCCACGAGUUCCGUGCCGCAGCUAACGCAUUAAGCGCCCCGCCUGGGGAGUACGG
rnacentral:rRNA from 1 species